GGAAUGCAUAGAAAUGAAAACAUCCAAACAGCUGGGAGUGUAACAUAAAUAAAGAGGCAGCAUUUCACUAUGUUGCCCAGGCUGGUCUUGAACUCCUGGGUGCAGGUGGUCCUCCUGCCUUAGUAUCCUGAGUAGCGGGGACUCCAGGUGCAUGUUACCAUGCCCAGCUGUAUACAAACUUAUUGAGUACCCCCUAUGUGCCAGGCUCUGUGACACAACGGUGAACAAAAGAAGCACAAAUCUAUACAUUUGGAGGGCUUAUAGUGCAGAGAAGAAGUUCUCAUAAAAAUUGCUGGGGGUCACUAAGCCCAGCUAGCUAAUUUUUAAUUUUCUGUAGAGACAAGGUCUUGCCAUGUUGCCCAGGCUGGUCUUGAACUCCUGGGCUCAAGCAAUGCUCCUAUCUCAGCCUCCCAGUGUGCUGGGAUUACAGGCAUGAGCCACCACACCCAGCCCUGAGGUGGAUUUUUUUUUCAAUAGAGAAAAUCUAAGAGGUAAUACCAGUAGGCAAAUGCUUAAAUGGAUUACAGACUGGAAAACAAGAUGGCAGCAAACCAAGAUACAUUUUUUUGGUCAACAAAUGAUGUUGGAAAAUGCCUGGAAAACAUGAGUGAAAAUGUGAACAGACAAUCAUUAGAACGAAUUAUUCAGCGGGAAGUUUGCCACACAAUUGGAUGAAACUACAAGAUAUUAUUACUGUAUCUGGAAAAGGUUAUGUUUCAAAGAUGAAGUGCACAAAGAACUCCUUUUUCAUGAGCCACCAAAGAAAGGACUACCAGAGAAGGGAGUGCAUUGAACCCCAUGGCAGCAUUGCUGAUAUUGGAUGCCUGCUCUUUCUCUCAAGAAGCUACAGUGCGGUAAUUAAUUCAUUGUUCAAAUUUCAGAGCAGGCCAGGUUUUAAUCCCCUCUGAAAUUGGUUUCAUAUGUGGAAGUCAUAGUUCUCCACCUUCUAAUUGCAACAGGGAGAUAAUGCGGCAUUAGUAUCGCAAUUUUGAGCAUGGCAUUGGGCUGGAAAUAAAUAUCAUUUAAGCUUUGAAAGCGUGGCUGCUUGGAAACGUUUUCUUUCCUAUUUCACAAAUUUAAUGCAGAGAAGAGGCUGUGCUUAUUCAAAAGAAUUAUUCCUUGAGCUGCCAAAAAAAUUAAACAGGAGCAUUUUGGAUUCUAAAUAAACAGUCUUUCACUCUCAAAGUGAGUUUCAAGUCAGAUGGAGUGACUUGUUUGCGUAGACUUGCUGAGAUAAUAUUACCAUCAAGUUGAUUGAAUUUACAUUACUUUUUGUCAUGCUGUUUAUCUACAUAUACAUUGAACUUUGCACAGAAAGUCAUUCCUGAGCAAAGGUGACUGUGUCAGAGUCUGAAAGAAAGACUGGAGCAAGAGGAAAAAUUGCAAUUUUGUAGCUACUACCUGGCUAAUGUUUCUCUUCCAUCACCUUGGUCUUAAUCCUCCCCUUUUACUUAUGCAAAGAGGAGUCAAAUUGUUUGGAAAUCUUGGGGUUUAUUAAAAGCCUUUGAACUAGAUAAUGAAAAACUCUUUUGUUCCCUCCAUUAGCCUAGCACGGUUCUGACUUCUUCCUAUUCCCAUUGUUAAUAAAGGGCUUUUCAAAGAAGAGUCUUCUGACCGUUUUAAUACCUCAGUUGGUAUGUGUUUGCUUUAGGCCCUCAUCAACAAGACAAACCAACAUAGUUUUAGAAUACACAACUUAUUGUUUGUAUUUUUAUAGGGCUAUAUGUUUUUCAGAGCUCUGACACUAAGGCCUCUUGACACAGAAUUAUAGUUUCCCCAUAUUAUUGAUGAAAAGAUUAAUUAAUCUCUGUGAGCUUCAGUUUCUUCAAGGUCAUACAGCAUGCUGGAGUCAGGUAAGACUACCCAGACAAACUCUGCACCUCAAACAUCUUUGCCAAGUAGAUAUUUUAUUUAGUAUCCUGCCCUCCAGCAAAUCCCUGAAAGAAAGCCCAGGGGCACUGAAGUGAUAUGCAAGUCCCAAGUUGAAGCCAUGGGCUCCAGGCUUAUAUUCUGUGACGUACUUUUCACCCUCACUCUCCCAAGGCAUGGGGUAUAGCUCUUGCACUGAGCUGGCUCUAUAUACAGAGGAAAUCUGAUACAGUUCAGACUAGCUCUUCAAAUCCUUCUUUGUUACAAUAAGAAAAUCUCAUUUAUGAGACUUAACUCCAAGAGUAAUGACAGCAACAAUAAUAAAAAAAAGGCUAACUUUAUAAACGAUUACGAUACGCUAAUCACUUUAUAUACAAAUUCUCAUUUAGUCCUCAUAGCAAAUAUGAGAAAGGUACUAUUACCACCCAUUUUACAGAUGGUAAAACUGAGAUUUGGGGACAUUAUCACAUAUGGGAAUCUGGAUUUAAACCCAACGUGUCUGACUCCAGAGUCUACACUUGCAGCUAUUCAUGCUGCCCUCUGUGUGCCAGGUGCUUUUCAUACAGCAUUGCCAAUUCUCACAAUAACUUCACAAAAAUAGAAAGUGAAGAGUCUAGCUCAAGGUCACAGAGCUAUUAAGGAACAGUUUCAAGAUCUAACACUAUGCCAGCCUGACUCCUUCCUUUAUGCUGAGGUGCUUUGCCCACUGCUAGGGAGAGAUCUGGCCCCGUGGCAAGGCCUGCCAAAGCCCUGGGUGAGAGGACGCCAUAGGCUACUUACCACGUUCUUGUAGAGGUAGUACACCACCAUCCUGGCCAGGCGCGAGUAACACCAGUGGCCAUGCACGAGCAGCAACUUCUUGAGAUGCUUAAAGCGGGUGAUGGCAAAGUCGCUGGACAUGACAGCCUGAGAGGUGAGAACAGACACAUCAGCUUCCAUCCAUGGCUGCCAGUGCCCCAGAGGGACUCUCUCAAGGGCGUUGCUUUGGUCUAGGCCUACGGCCAGCAGAGUCCUAAAGACCCCUUGUUGUGGUCACUCUUGGGUAGCUUUUUGGAUUCUGACACCCCACCCUCCCUUCUGGGAAAUCCAAACCUCUCUAGAAUCCAAGGAGGGCAGAUCAGAAGGGAUCAGUGGUCUAGGCUGGCUCUUCAUCCGUUUAUCCAGCA
rnacentral:lncRNA from 10 species